AAAUUGAAGAGUUUGAUCAUGGCUCAGAUUGAACGCUGGCGGCAGGCCUAACACAUGCAAGUCGAACGGUAGCACAGAGAGCUUGCUCUCGGGUGACGAGUGGCGGACGGGUGAGUAAUGUCUGGGAAACUGCCUGAUGGAGGGGGAUAACUACUGGAAACGGUGGCUAAUACCGCAUAAUGUCGCAAGACCAAAGAGGGGGACCUUCGGGCCUCUUGCCAUCAGAUGUGCCCAGAUGGGAUUAGCU
rnacentral:rRNA from 3 species